rnacentral:rRNA from 1 species
CCUACGGGAGGCAGCAGUGGGGAAUAUUGCGCAAUGGGCGAAAGCCUGACGCAGCGACGCCGCGUGAGGGAUGAAGGUCUUCGGAUCGUAAACCUCUGUCAGCAGGGAAGAACGGUCACUGUGCUAAUCAGCAGUGAAUUGACGGUACCUGCAAAGGAAGCACCGGCUAACUCCGUGCCAGCAGCCGCGGUAAUACGUAGGGGGCAAGCGUUAUCCGGAUUUACUGGGUGUAAAGGGAGCGUAGACGGAAAGGCAAGUCAGAAGUGAAAACCCAAGGCUCAACCAUGGGACUGCUUUUGAAACUGUCAAACUAGAGUACGGGAGAGGUAAGAGGAAUUCCUAGUGUAGCGGUGAAAUGCGUAGAUAUUAGGAGGAACACCAGUGGCGAAGGCGUCUUACUGGACCGAAACUGACGUUGAGGCUCGAAAGCGUGGGGAGCAAACAGGAUUAGAUACCCCUGUAGUC